UAAAAAAUAUAUUCAUAUAUCAUUAAAGCACACACCAAUGCCUAUAUGAAUGAUUCUUCUUCUCGGCGGAAUCUUCAAGAGAGGAGGAUUGUUUUGGGAAGCUGCUGCUGACAUCUGAGGUGCCCGGCUAGAUAUUAGUAAGGUUCUUCAUUCAGGCAAGCUACAUUUGCUGGCAAAUUUGUUUUUGUUCCUGUUUGCAUCUCCAUUUCUGAGAAUGAGCCACCCAUGCCGUGAUGAUCAAGAUGCAACUGUUGUAGGAUUUGAGGUUCCAAGGUCCCCUGAUUCAAGUUACAACAACGUGUACCCUGGGAAUGAAGAUGAGGGACGGGAACCACCUUUCGUCCCCCCUCAUCUGCAACAGACCAUGCUUAACUGCCCACCAACUAGAGAUCCUUCUGUGUCCCUUCCGCUGCCACAGAAUGUUACC